rnacentral:tRNA from 1 species
CAUUAGAUAACUAAAAGCAAGUAGUGAUCUCUUAAAUCAUAUUAUAGUAAAUUAGCGCUUACUUCUAAUGA